UACGAAGGGGGCUAGCGUUGUUCGGAUUUACUGGGCGUAAAGCGCACGUAGGCGGAUCGUUAAGUCGGGGGUGAAAUCCUGGAGCUCAACUCCAGAACUGCCUUCGAUACUGGCGAUCUCGAGUCCGGGAGAGGUGAGUGGAACUCCUAGUGUAGAGGUGGAAUUCGUAGAUAUUAGGAAGAACACCAGUGGCGAAGGCGGCUCACUGGUCCGGUACUGACGCUGAUGUGCGAAAGCGUGGGGAGCAAACGGG
rnacentral:rRNA from 1 species